rnacentral:rRNA from 1 species
GACGAACGCUGGCGGCGUGCUUAACACAUGCAAGUCGAACGGAAAGGCCCUGCUCUUGUGGGGUGCUCGAGUGGCGAACGGGUGAGUAACACGUGAGUAACCUGCCCUUGACUUUGGGAUAACUUCAGGAAACUGGGGCUAAUACCGGAUAGGAGCUCCUGCUGCAUGGUGGGGGUUGGAAAGUUUCGGCGGUUGGGGAUGGACUCGCGGCUUAUCAGCUUGUUGGUGGGGUAGUGGCUUACCAAGGCUUUGACGGGUAGCCGGCCUGAGAGGGUGACCGGCCACAAUGGGACUAAGAUACGGCCCAGACUCCUACGGGAGGCAGCAGUGGGGAGUAUUGCACAAUGGGCGGAAGCCUGAUGCAGCAACGCCGCGUGCGGAAUGACGGCCUUCGGGUUGUAAACCGCUUUCGCCUGUGACGAAGCGUGAGUGACGGUAAUGGGUAAAGAAGCACCGGCUAACUACGUG